GAUUGAAGAACGUAGCGAAAUGCGAUAAGUAAUGUGAAUUGCAGAAUUCAGUGAAUCAUCGAAUCUUUGAACGCACAUUGCGCCCGCCAGUAUUCUGGCGAGCAUGCCUGUUCGAGCGUCAUUUCAACCAUCAAGCCCCAGGCUUGUGUUGGAGCCCUGCGGCUGCCGCAGCCUCCCAAAACCAGUGGCGGGCUCGCUAUCACACCGAGUGCAGUAGUUUACUCUUCGCUCAGGGCGUGUGGCGGGUGCUAGCCGUGAAACCCCCAACUUCUCAAGGUUGACCUCGGAUCAGGUAGGAAUACCCGCUGAACUUAAGCAUAUCAAUAAGCGGAGGA
rnacentral:misc_RNA from 1 species